GAUGAACGCUGGCGGCGUGCCUAAUACAUGCAAGUCGAACGCUGGAGAUCUAGCUUGCUAGAUCGAAGGAGUGGCGAACGGGUGAGUAAUACAUAAGCAACCUACCCACGAAGACUGGGAUAAUCUCUGGAAACGGGGACUAAUACCGGAUAGGUAAUCGGAAGGCAUCUUCUGGUUAUUAAAGGUUAAAAACACUGGUGGAUGGGCUUAUGGCGCAUUUAGUUAGUUGGUGAGGUAACGGCCCACCAAGACGAUGAUGCGUAGCCGGCCUGAGAGGGUGAACGGCCACAUUGGGACUGAGACACGGCCCAG
rnacentral:rRNA from 1 species